ACCUACGGGGCGCAGCAGUGAGGAAUAUUGGUCAAUGGUCGGGAGACUGAACCAGCCAAGCCGCGUGAGGGAUGAAGGUACAGAGUAUCGUAAACCUAUUGUGUCAGGGAACAAAGGCGGGGACGUGUCCCCGGAUGAGUGUACCUGAAGAAAAAGCAUCGGCUAACUACGCGCCAGCAGCCGCGGUAAUACGGAGGAUGCGAGCGUUAUCCGGAUUGAUUGGGUUUAAAGGGUGCGCAGGCGGGCUGUUAAGGAAGCGGGCAAAGCCCGGGGCUC
rnacentral:rRNA from 1 species